rnacentral:rRNA from 1 species
CCUACGGGGGGCAGCAGUGGGGAAUAUUGGACAAUGGGGGAAACCCUGAUCCAGCGACGCCGCGUGAGUGAAGAAGUAUUUCGGUACGUAAAGCUCUAUCAGCAGGAAAGAAAAUGACGGUACCUGACUAAGAAGCCCCGGCUAACUACUGGCCAGCAGCCGCGGUAAUACGUAGGGGGCAAGCGUUAUCCGGAUUUACUGAGUGUAAGGGGAGCGUAGACGGCAGGGCAAGUCUGGAGUGAAAUGCCGGGGCCUAACCCCGGAACUGCCCUGGAUACCGUGAAGCUGGAGUGCAGGAGCGGCAAGCGGAAUUACUGGUGUAGCGGUGAAAUGCGUAGAUAUCAGGAGGAACACCGGCGGCGAAGGCGGCUUACUGGACUGUAACUGACGUUGAGGCUCGAAGGCGUGGGGAGCAAACAGGAUUAGAUACCCUGGUAGUC